rnacentral:lncRNA from 1 species
GUCCCUGACCCAGCUGAAGCUCUUCCCCAGGCACAUGAGGAGGAGGAUGGUCUGGGGCCACACCCAGGGACAAGAGGUGGGGGUGGGGGAGGGUUCCAUGUCUCCUCUCUGCAGACAGACCAGAUAGACAGCAGUGCCACCGAGUGUUAUCAUCAGAGCUGGAAACAUGAAGGCUCUGCUGUGACCCUGACACCAGCAGCAUAUGUCCCUGUCCUGCCCGGAGGUUACCCAGCAGAUGGCUAUGAUGAUGCUGGGGAGGUUUCUUACCCUGGGGAGGAUCCUGUCCCUGGGCAGAGGGACUGGGAAGUGCCCAGGACACCAGAGGAAGGAGAUGGGCCCAGGGAUGCAGCCACAGGUGAGAGGGCAAUGCAGCACUGCCACUUCCUAGGUGCCAACCCCAGGCCUAGGAGAAUCCC